rnacentral:lncRNA from 1 species
UGACUCUGAAACAUGCUUGGCCUUCCCCAGAGAUUCCUGCUCCCAGCCCAGGCCCAGACGGCAACAGAAGCUCAUGGGGAGUGAAGGGACAGGAUGGAGCGGGAGCGGCGCCAAAGCACGGGGAGAACCAGAGGCCGCAGGAAUGGCAGACUCUGGACAUGCUCCUAGAGAUGGGAGGUCAAAAUGAUCAACGUUCAGGGUCCCUUCAUCUCAGAGGGUCUCGAGUCACCUCAUUUAAAGGUGGGAACUGGGGAUCCUGGAACCUCCCCUGCACCCCAGAUGCUUCUGGGGCCCUUGAGAACUUGCCCUGAGCUGUCACCUGGCCUAGACUCCCAGCCACUUUCAGGGCACAGAGAAACUGCCCUCACUCUGAAAAUGUGGAGACCGGGACCCAGAGAGGUAGAGUGACUUGCCC